rnacentral:rRNA from 1 species
UACGGGGGGAGCAAGCGUUGUUCGGAUUUACUGGGCGUAAAGGGCGCGUAGGCGGCCACGACAAGUCACUUGUGAAAUCUCCGGGCUUAACUCGGAACGGUCAAGUGAUACUGUCGGGCUAGAGUGCAGAAGGGGCAACUGGAAUUCUCGGUGUAGCGGUGAAAUGCGUAGAUAUCGAGAGGAACACCUGCGGCGAAGGCGGGUUGCUGGGCUGAUACUGACGCUGAGGCGCGAAAGCCAGGGAGCGAACGGG